rnacentral:misc_RNA from 1 species
GUAGGUGAACCUGCGGAAGGAUCAUUAUUGAAUGAACAUGGAGUUUGGUUGUCGCUGGCCCCUUCACUGGGGCAUGUGCACGCCUUUCUCUAUUCAUCCACACACACCUGUGAACUUGUGAGACGGAUAGUAGUCCCCCCCCUCGGGGGAGGGCGAGCUCCGUCUGCUAUACAUAAACCCCAGUAAAUAAAUUUGAAUGUCAUUUGAUGUAACGCAUCUAUAAACUAAGUUUCAACAACGGAUCUCUUGGCUCUC